rnacentral:tRNA from 1 species
ACUAAUUUAGCAAAAAUAAUGUAUCAAUUUUAGAAUUUGAAGAUGGAUCUCCAAUUAGUA